UACGUAGGGUCCGAGCGUUGUCCGGAAUCAUUGGGCGUAAAGAGCGUGUAGGCGGUUCGGUAAGUCGGCUGUGAAAGUCCAGGGCUCAACCCCUGGGAUGCCGGUCGAUACUGCCGGACUAGAGUUCGGAAGAGGCGAGUGGAAUUCCCGGUGUAGCGGUGAAAUGCGCAGAGUAUCAGGAGGAACACCGGUGGCGAAGGCGGGGUCUCUGGGCCGAUACUGACGCUGGAGGAGCGAAAAGCGUGGGGGAGCGAACAGG
rnacentral:rRNA from 1 species